rnacentral:lncRNA from 1 species
GAUGUUGCGCUGUUUGCUCCCGCGGACCCCAAAACGCGCGGAUUUCGGGGGGGUUUCUGGCAGGCUGAGAAUGGAGCCCGGCCGCUUCUAGCGAGGAAAAAGGGAAAAACUUCAUCCCUCCCCCGAGGGCUCGGUGUGCCGAGGUGUAGUCAAACCUUCUUUUUUUUUUUUUUCCUUUUCUUUUUUUUCCUUUUUUUUUUUUUUUUUUUGAAAUAAACCUGAGAAAGCGGGGGGUUAUAAUGCAAACGCUGGAAGCAGCUUCGCCGUGCCGGGGCGAAGGAGCUGCUGCUCGGGGAACGCUGCUCCUGGGAGACGCAGGCAGCCCCGGCACCUUCCCGGGGUGCCCUCUCCCCGUGAGCCCCCCCAGCUGCGAUUUGGGGUCGGGGACGGGCGAGGAGCCCCCAGGAUUGCACUGCGAGGGCCGUGUGUGCCCCCGUGAAAACCCCGACCCUUGUGCAAAGCCGGAGGUGGAUGGAUGGUGCCAAGGCCGGCGCCGCUUUGCUCAUGGGGAGGCUUCGAUUCGUAUUCCCCUCCCCAAAACCAGGAUUUCUUUCUCCACGAUUAUUUACAAACCAACGUUAAAUAAGCGCCUGCGCUUCACAAAGACUCCGGAGGCCCCGUCUGGUCCUGAGAAAACGCCCAGAGAGGAGGAACGAGGAAUUGCCAGGUGCCUUUUGCAGCCCCCAGGGCUUUGCCCAGCAGCCCGGGCACAGGCGGAGGGGUCAGGGCCGGCGGCCCCCGGCACGCAGGAGGAGCCCUGGGCCGAGCGCCCGGUGCAAGACGUGCGCCCUCGCCGUGAUUCAGCCUGCUGGUUCGGGGGCAGUUUUUACAAGUUUGCCGAGCUUUGGUGGAGGGAGGCUCCAGUUUCAGACGCAGGCCGAUGCAAGUUCACACAUCGUCCUAGCCCUCCUGAAAAAAAAAAAUAAAGAGAAAAGAAAAAUAACUGUUUGCAAGUCGAUGCUGGUUUAAAAAUGCGCUGUUUACCACUAUCCCCAUUUCAUCUGAACGACUCACGUGGCUGUAAGAACAAUCAGCAUUUUUCCACCGUGAUUUAAGAACAAAUAAUUAAAGUCAUCCCAGAUGGGCUUGUAAAAAUUAGAGUACAUCAGCUAACUUUAAAUGACUUAUCCUGUUCCUGUGCUGACGCUACCCACCCUCCAACCCGCUGCAGUUUUUCAGUUUCUUCUGUACCAGCGCCGAGCGCUACCUGGCUGGUGCGAUACUUCUGGACACCACUUUUUGUCGAUUUUGGCACCUGCGUCCUGUCACUGUUGAGCUUUUCUCGGUUUCUUUUUAUGUUCUCCCUAGAGGCGCCGCUGCUGGCUCCAGGAAGCGCGUGGGCACCGCGAGAGCGGCGCUUCCUGCUUCUCGAGCUCCCAGGGUGAGCCGGGGCAGCUCUCCGCGCCUCACCUCCUUCCGCGCGGUGGAAAGGGAGGGACCCAGGGGAGCUUUGACAAGAUUCGAGGUCCUCGAAAGUGAAUUGCACAGACACAUCGCUCUGCUCUGGGUACUCGGGGCUGUAACAGCAUCUUGCCCCUUGCCACACCAGCACCACUCAUUUGCCUGUGCAGUCACGUUGGUGUCUUUGCUUUUAUUCCUCACGGCAGCACUUGCGCGUUAGUUAAAGAUUUGAAUGACCCUGCAUAAUCGCUGUAGUGCAACGCUAAGGAUAAAUUCAUAAACCUAAUUGGGAAGAGAGAUCCAUAUUAGAAAUAAGUAACCCUAAGAGUCAAAUCAUCUCCUUCCCUAAGUGGUUGAGGAGAUCUAAAGAAAAACAAAACAAAAAAUUCAACAACUCCCCGAAGAUUUGUUAACUAAACAGUUGUCCAUUAAGGAGACCAAAUAUUUCACAGCAUUAGUCUUUGGAUUAAUGUUAAAUCGAUACGCACUAACGCAAUAGGGCAAUAGUUACCAUGGUGAAUAAUU